rnacentral:misc_RNA from 1 species
AACGCAAAUUGCGGUCCUGGGCUAUCCUGGGACCAUGCCUGGUUGAGUGUCAUGUUACAUCCUCAAACUUUCGGGUUUGGUUUAUUGGGACGUCACACGUUGAUCGACGCGUGUCUCCUUAAAUGAAGAAGAAGCUGAUCCACGACACUUUUCGUGUGGAACAAACGGCUCUAGCAUGGUAAAUCCACAUCCUUCGGGGUACUGUCGCUAGUUGUCGUCCAUUUCGAGUCGUAGAUCAACGUCUAGCCACUUUAUACGAGCGACGAAUGGAUUGUCGCUUGCCACUAUUGACCUCAGCUCAGGUAAGGCUACCCGCUGAACUUAA